GGUAAGGUCUUAGCAGCUACCAGGACCACUUUUCCUGAGGAUCUGCCCUCCAAAAUUCCCCGAUGCAGCAUUGGCUGUCCCAGAGCUUGGCAGCUGGAACAAGGAAUCAUCAUUUGGGAGACAAUGGGCUUCAUACAGUAGGAAGCUGGCAUGUGUUUGUGUUUCGUCUUGAAAGGGGCGGAAUGCUCCAACUAUCACCUGAAGAAAGGCCUCGGAGGCACAUUUUGGAUACGGGACCUGAUUAUAGCUCUGAACUCACAGGUAAUAAGCCUUAAGCUAAAACACCGUUCAGCUCACAGAAGACAUCCUGACCAGGUCCACCUGUGGAAUGGCUACAGGGAGGAAGAAAUUAAGACGUCCUCCAGAGGCCGAUGGGAACCAGGAAGUGUCUUACUUUAUUCCCUCCCCUUUUAGUGUAAGAGGAGCCUGAAUUGUAACUCUGGUAAGAUGGUCUUAUGGGGCAUGAGCCCACCAUCUUCUCAGUUUGCUGGUUUUCCAAAUAAAGUUAUUCCUUGCC